AUUGAACGCUGGCGGCAGGCCUAACACAUGCAAGUCGCACGAGUGGCGGAAGGGUGAGUAAUGUCUGGGAAACUGCCUGAGGGAGGGGGAUAACUACUGGAAACGGUAGCUAAUACCGCAUAACAUCAGAUGUGCCCAGAUGGGCUUAUCUAGUUGGUGGGGUAACGGCUCACCAAGGCGACGAUCCCUAGCUGGUCUGAGAGGAUGACCAUCAACACUGGAACUGAGACAAGGUCCAGACUCCUACGGGAGGCAGAAGUGGGGAAUAUUGCACAAUGGGCGCAAGCCUGAUGCAGCCAUGCCGCGUGUAUGAAGAAGGCCUUAGGGUUGUAAAGUACUUUCAGCGGGGAGGCGUUACCCGCAGAAGAAGCACCGGCUAACUCCGGGCCAGCCGCCGCGGUAAUAC
rnacentral:rRNA from 1 species